GUCAAUGAAGGAGCUGUGUCUUUAUUCAAAGAGCAAUGGUGUGCUAAAAUAUACUGAGACAACAAAUCCAGCUAAUGUCUGUAAUUUUCACAAGGACUGAUGAAUGUUCUAAAGGAAAGGAAAGCUAUUCUUCAGUAUGGGGAUCAGGUUCUAACUCCCUAAUCUGUGCUUUCUUGGAAGACCUCCUCGUG